UACGUAGGGACCAAGCGUUGUCCGGAAUUAUUGGGCGUAAAGAGCGUGUAGGCGGCUUGUUAAGUCUUGCGUGAAAUCUCGGGGCUCAACCCCGAGCGGUCGUGAGAAACUGGCAGGCUAGAGUGCGGGAGAGGAGAGUGGAAUUCCUGGUGUAGCGGUGAAAUGCGCAGAUAUCAGGAAGAACACCCGUGGCGAAGGCGGCUCUCUGGAACGCAACUGACGCUGAGACGCGAAAGCGUGGGGAGCAAACAGG
rnacentral:rRNA from 1 species